rnacentral:lncRNA from 1 species
ACUAACUAAAACUAACUGACAAUAAAAGAAAACAUUGAUUUAUCUACUAAACAUUAACGAAAAAAGAGUAUAAGAAGAAUGAAAAUAAAGAAGAGAUUCAAACCUUAAUUGAAAUUCCUAGCUUUUUGUGAGUUGUGAGAGUGAUAAUUGUGUGUAAAAAGUGAAUGUUAAGACCCUAUUUAUAGAUUUCUAAUUCUACUGCUACAUGGUAAAUUCUCAGUCCACGUUUUCACUUUCAAUUUGUGAAGAAAAAUUAGCCACCUUGUAUGCAUAGAUGUAGUUCUUAUCUUAAAAUUAAAUGCAUGCUUAUCUCUAAUCUUUC